AAGUCUUAGGCGUUUGAGCCCACGACUAUCCCAAAGCCAGAGUCCAAAAGCAAAGCCAUGAUAAAAAGGGUAAAUAGGAUUAGGGUUUCUUCUUCCCUCUUUAUAAAGUGUCAAAUCUAGCAAACUGCCUCCGCCAUUGGAUCUCUCAGUUCAGUCUGCAGGUGAGCAUAGGAGAGUGAAAGGAACGAGAAACGGGCCAAAAACAGAGAGAAUGAGCCAACAUACAAAAUCAACAUGGCCUGGACCUCCUCACACGGGCAUACCACACGGUCAUGUCAAUUUAGCAGAAUCGAAGCACGACUCACAGGGGUGGACUACACGCCUGUGCCUAUUUAACAGGCUUGACCACUGAUAAACCGUAAUUUAUACAUAUUUUUACCCCAUGUUUAAUGCAUUUUAUGGAUGAUUUCUCAUUAGAAUUGGUGAAAUCGAUGCUCCUAAUGCUUUAAUUUCAUGUUUUAUACUUAGGAGAGUAUAGGAAAGCGAAAGGAACAAGAAACGGGCAAAAACGGAGAAAAUGGGCCAAAGUACGAAUUGAACACGGCCUGGACUUCCCCACACGGGCAGACCACAUGGCCGUGUCAAUUUGGCAAGCUCGAACACGGCCUGAAGUAAUCGAACACGGGCGUGUGCCACGGGCGUGUCCCUAGCGAGCCCAAGUUGAGUCCAAUUUGGAAAAGGCCACUUUUGAGGGCUUUUAGGCAUUCCAAAGCCUAUAAAUACACCCUAGAGGAGGAAGAAAAAAGAAGAUGGAGAAUAGGGGGUAAGGAAUUACUCCAAAGAAGCCGAUUGAUCCAGCUCAGAAGCCGGAUUCAUCAUCAAGACUGAAGAUCUCUCCCCAAUUUCCCUUUAGGAGUUUUGGGUUUUCUUUAUGUUUUGUAUUCUUAUUUCUUCUGAGAUGUUUUCUUAUUUAGUUAUGAACUAAAACCCCUAAAUAGCUAAGGGGAAUGAAACCUAAGACGAAUCUUGUUAUUAUUUUCUGAAUCGUAUGAUAAAUAUUUAACUUGUUCUUAA